UACGUAGGGUGCGAGCGUUAAUCGGAAUUACUGGGCGUAAAGCGUGCGCAGGCGGUUUUGUAAGACAGAUGUGAAAGCCCCGGGCUUAACCUGGGAAUGGCAUUUGGGACUGCAAGGCUGGAGUGUGGCAGAGGAGACUGGAAUUCCUGGUGUAGCAGUGAAAUGCGUAGAUAUCAGGAGGAAUACCGAUUGCGAAGGCAGGUCUCUGGGCUGACACUGACGCUCAUGCACGAAAGCGUGGGGAGCAAACAGG
rnacentral:rRNA from 1 species